rnacentral:rRNA from 1 species
UACAGAGACUGCAAGCGUUAUUCGGAUUCACUGGGCGUAAAGGGUGCGCAGGCGGCCAAGUGUGUGAGGCGUGAAAGCCUGGGGCUUAACUCCAGAAUUGCACCUCAAACUACAUGGCUAGAGCAUUGGAGAGGGUAGCAGAAUUCACGGUGUAGCAGUGAAAUGCGUAGAUAUCGUGAGGAAUACCAGAGGCGAAGGCGGCUACCUGGACAAUUGCUGACGCUCAGGCACGAAAGCGUGGGGAGCAAAAAGGG